rnacentral:lncRNA from 1 species
CAAAGAUAAAGAGAAGGAACAUACUACACACUAGUAACUUGUGCAACAAGUUAACUAAACUCUUAGCUAGUUUUAUUGUUCUAACAACCUGCAAAGUUAGUUACAACUAGAGUUACAAUCAUAUAUGUAAGAUUCAUAUUAGCUUAGUGUGCACUAUCUUAUGAUACACUAUAAAUAAAGGUUCUCUUGUAAUCUCUAUUCAUUCAAUGAAACCCAUAGUUUCUUUUCCAUUUUUCUCUUUCUGUUAUUUUCUCUUUCUUUUCUGUUACAAUUCAGUUUCUCAACAUGGUAUCUAGAGCCUCUUGAUCCAAAGAGAGCUUCUUCUUCCGCUACGAUUCUCUCUUUUCUUCUUCGUUUUCCUUUCUCUGUUCUUCAGUUUUCAUGGCGCCUCGCAACAACAAUGGUGCAGGUUCUUCCUAUGAGGUUGCUCUUGAUCAAACAAGCCCGUAUUUUGUUCAUUCUAGUGAUGGUCCUUCUUCUGUAACAGUUACGCCAUUGCUGAAUGGUUCUAACUAUCAUUCUUGGGCUCGUUCGAUGCGAAGAGCUCUUGGGGGAAAAAUGAAGUUUGAAUUUGUUGAUGGAACUAUUUCUCCGGUUACAGAUUCGUUUGAUCCUUCUUUUCGUGCUUGGAAUCGGUGUAAUAUGCUGAUUCACUCAUGGAUCUUGAAUUCAGUAGAUUCUUCAAUUUCUCAAUCUAUUGUUUUCAUGGAAAACGCCAUGGAUGUGUGGAAUGAUCUUAAGGAACGUUUUGCUCAAGGUGAUUUGGUUCGUAUUUCUGAACUUAUGCAAGAAAUCUAUUCUUUACAACAAGAUUCAAAAUCUGUUACUAAUUUCUACUCUGAAUUGAAAGUAUUAUGGGAAGAGUUAGAAAUCUAUCUACCUAUGCCUAGCUGUAGUUGCAGAAUCCAAUGUUCCUGUGAAGCUAUGCGCACUGCUAGGAAAAAUCAUGUUCUGUUAUAUGCUAUGCGUUUUCUUACUGGUCUCAAUGAAAAUUUCAACAUGGUGAAGUCUCAGAUCCUUCUCAUGGAUCCUCUUCCACCAAUGAAUAGGAUUUUUUCUAUGGUAUUGCAGCAUGAAAGACAGGGUAAUUUUGCACCUAUUAUUGAAGAUUCUUUACCUUCUAUCAAUGCUGUGAACUCUGGAAAACCUAAGUAUGGUAAUUCUGGAAAUAUGUACAAAAAUACCAAUCAAAGUUCUAAUUCCAACUAUAACAAGAAUAGGUCUUGUACUUUCUGUGGUAGAAGCAAUCAUACCAUAGAAACUUGUUAUAAAAAGCAUGGAUACCCUCCUCAUCUCCAGAGAAAUUUCAAUAAUUCAUCUUAUGCUAAUCAUACUGCAUCUUCAGAGACUGAAAAUCCCACUCCUGAUGAGCCUGGGAGAGUUGCUUCUACAUCUAUCACAAAUGAACAAUAUGAAAAGUUAAUGAGUUUACUUCAGGUUUCAUCUUCUAAACAAGAUUCAGUAACUGCACAAGCUUCUGCAAAUCAGGUUUUUUCCACUCCAUCUGGUCAUACAUCAAAUGGUAAGCACAGUACUAGUUGCAUUCUUUCUUUAACUUGUCAUAGUUUUGCUUUAAACUCCUGGAUCAUUGAUUCAGGAGCUAGUGAUCACAUUUGUGGAAAUCUUCAAUGGUUUCAUUCUUACAAUGAAAUCACUCCUAUGCAUAUAAAAUUGCCUACUGGCCACUAUGCAAUAGCCAAACAUGCUGGAACCAUUAAGUUUAGUUCAAAUUUUUCAAUAUCUCAUGUACUAUAUGUGCCUGAAUUUCAUUUCAAUCUAUUAUCUGUGUCAAAAAUAUCUGAUUCACUAAAUUGCAUUGUCAUUUUUGAUGGUUCCAAAUGUCUUAUUCAGGAAAAGAAUACUCAGAGGAUGAUUGGUUCUGGUGAAAAGAGAGAAGAAUUAUAUUACUUGAAUCCACCAGAUAAGAUGGUUUGCAGUUCUAGCAUUGUCAAAUCACCCUCCAUUUUUUUACCUGAUAGUGCCUUAUGGCAUUUUAGACUAGGUCAUCUCUCUUUUUCUAGAAUGAAUGUUUUACAUUCAAAAUUUCCCUUUGUAAAUGUUGAUAGCAAAGCUACUUGUGAUGUAUGUCAUUUUGCUAAACAUAGGAAACUUCCUUUUACUCCCAGUUGUAAUAAAGCAAAACAGCCUUUUGAGCUAAUACAUUUUGAUAUUUGGGGUCCUAUUUCUAUUAAAUCCAUACAUGGUCAUUCUUAUUUUCUCACUGCUGUAGAUGAUUUCAGUAGGUAUACUUGGUUAACUUUGAUGAAAACCAAAGCUGAAACCAGACAACACAUUGUUGAUUUUAUUACUCUUAUUGAAAAUCAGUUUUCUUAUAAAGUUAGAACCAUAAGAAGUGAUAAUGGUCCUGAGUUCCUCAUGCCAAAUUUUUACUCUUCAAAAGGAAUUUUACAUCAAAGAAGUUGUGUGGAAACUCCUCAGCAAAAUGCUAGAGUUGAAAGAAAACAUCAACACAUUUUAAACAUUGUGAGAGCUUUACUUUUUCAAUCACAUCUUCCUAAACAUUUUUGGUCUUAUGCUGCUAUUCAUGCUGUCUUCAUCAUGAAUAGAGUGACCAGCCCUAUUAUUGACAAUAACACUCCUUAUUUUCUAUUGCAUAAACAGAUACCUGAUUUAAAUCAAUUGAAAGUUUUUGGUUCUUUAGUUUUUUCAUCCACUUUACAAGCAAACAGAAACAAACUUGCUUCUAGAGCAAGAAAAUGUGCCUUUUUAGGUUAUAAAUCUGGCAUGAAGGGAGUUGUCUUGCUUGAUAUAAUUACAAAGGAAUUUUUGUUUCUAGAAAUAUUACACAUCAUGAAAAUAUCUUUCCUUAUCAACCUGUAUCAUCCCCACCUCUUUGGAACUACUACUCCAGCAUACCUUCAAAAUCAUUAGAUCAAAAUCUUGAUUCCAAUUCUUCUGUUUGCAAUGAUUUUACUUCUUCUGACCAAAAUUCUCCAACACAAACAUCCCUUGAUAUGCACAUUGAUAAUGCACCUAACCCUGAUAUUACAGACACUUCUUUACCAUCAAUUUCCAAACCUGCCAGAAUUAGAAAUGCACCUUCUUAUCUGACAGAUUAUGUAUGUAAUUCUUCAUCUGCUUUUGCAUCCGCACCAAAAUCCUCAGGUACUCUUUACCCUAUUGCAUCUUAUCAUUCUUAUGCACAUCUAUCAUCAUCCCAAAAGUCUUUUUCUAUGUCUGUCACACAAUGUACUGAGCCAAAAACCUACAAAGAAGCUAGUCAGUCUGAAUGUUGGUUAAAAGCUAUGGAAUCUGAAUUAGAAGCAUUAGCUAAGAAUGGAACUUGGUCUAUUGUUGAUCUUCCUCACAAUGUGAAGCCUAUUGGUAGUAAGUGGGUUUAUAAAAUUAAGCACAAGGCAGAUGGCAGUAUAGAAAGAUACAAAGCUAGACUGGUGGCUAAAGGAUAUAAUCAAGUUGAAGGAGUUGAUUUUUUUGAUACUUUUUCACCAGUAGCCAAGCUUACCACAGUGAGAAUUUUACUUGCCAUAGCUUCAAUCAAAAACUGGCAUUUACAUCAGUUGGAUGUAAAUAAUGCUUUUCUACAUGGUGAUUUGCAAGAGAAUGUUUACAUGAAUAUACCAGAAGGUGUCUCUAGUGCACCAAACAAGGUUUGCAAAUUACAUAAGAGCCUAUAUGGUUUGAAGCAAGCAAGUAGGAAAUGGUAUGAGAAGUUGACAUCUUUAUUGAUAGCAGAAGGGUAUACACAGUCACCAUCAGACUAUUCACUUUUCACCAUUCAACAAGGUUCUAAUUUUACUGCCUUAUUAGUAUAUGUAGAUGACAUUAUUCUUGCUGGUUCAUCUAUCACUGAAUUCACUAGAAUCAAAGCUAUACUUGAUGCUCAUUUCAAGAUCAAAGAUUUGGGAAUUCUAAAGUAUUUUUUAGGAUUAGAGGUUGCUCAUUCCAAAGAGGGGAUCUCUAUUUCUCAAAGAAAGUACUGUCUUGACCUAUUGGAUUCUUCUGGACUUUUAGCUUCUAAACCUGCUUCUACUCCUCUGGAUACUUCCAUCAAAUUGCACCAAGACAAUAGCAAACCUUUUGCUGAUGUGUCUUGUUACAGGAGACUCAUUGGAAGACUUCUCUAUCUCAAUACUACAAGACCAGAUAUCACACUAGCAACUCAACAACUCAGUCAGUUUUUAAAUGCUCCUACUGUAUCGCAUUACAAAGUUGCUUGUAGGGUCAUCAGAUACUUGAAACAUAACCCUGGACUUGGUUUAUUCUUUCCUAGACAUUCUGAUUUACAAAUCCUUGGUUAUGUAGAUGCUGAUUGGGCUGGUUGUAUUGAUUCUAGAAGAUCAACAACAGGUUUUUGUUUCUUCUUAGGUUCAUCAUUGAUCUCAUGGCGUGCAAAGAAACAAGCAACUAUUUCUAGGUCAUCCUCAGAAGCAGAGUAUAGAGCACUUUCUACUGGCACAUGUGAACUUCAGUGGCUGCUAUAUCUCUUGAAAGAUUUACAAGUUACUUGCAUCAGACAACCUGUGUUAUACUGUGAUAGUCAGAGUGCAAUUCACAUAGCUUCCAAUCCAGUAUUUCAUGAGAGAACUAAACAUUUGGAAAUAGAUUGCCAUCUUGUCAGAGAAAAGGUACAAAAAGGAAUACUAAGGUUGCUUCCUAUAUCUACUGAAGAACAGCUUGCAGAUUUCCUUACAAAACCUCUGUCACCUCCAAAGUUCAAUUCUUUUGUAUCCAAGCUUGGAAUGAUAAAUAUUUAUCAUGCUCCAGCUUGUGGGAGGAUAUUGAAGAAUAACACAGAUCAUAUGGAAACACAAAUGAUCAAAGAUAAAGAGAAGGAACAUACUACACACUAGUAACUUGUGCAACAAGUUAACUAAACUCUUAGCUAGUUUUAUUGUUCUAACAACCUGCAAAGUUAGUUACAACUAGAGUUACAAUCAUAUAUGUAAGAUUCAUAUUAGCUUAGUGUGCACUAUCUUAUGAUACACUAUAAAUAAAGGUUCUCUUGUAAUCUCUAUUCAUUCAAUGAAACCCAUAGUUUCUUUUCCAUUUUUCUCUUUCUGUUAUUUUCUCUUUCUUUUCUGUUACAAUUCAGUUUCUCAACAAUGAGCCUGAUGCACAACCAUCACCCAAAUGACCUCCAUCUUUGCUAUAACUUUGGAGUAUUUUUCUCACAUCAACAGAUUUUCCAAUAUAAACCACUACUACGCCAUGAGGGUCGGUCGCAAGCUUGUAAAUUUCACACCCUAAAUCACUAGUCGACGAACCUACACCAAGCUCAUACACUCCCACACUGAAAUUUUGUGGCAGGUUUUCUUUCUUGUAUCUUGUAUAUCCAUGGUUUCCCCA